CAGCAGCCGCGGUAAUACAGAGGGUGCGAGCGUUAAUCGGAUUUACUGGGCGUAAAGCGUGCGUAGGCGGCUUCUUAAGUCGGAUGUGAAAUCCCUGAGCUUAACUUAGGAAUUGCAUUCGAUACUGGGAAGCUAGAGUAUGGGAGAGGAUGGUAGAAUUCCAGGUGUAGCGGUGAAAUGCGUAGAGAUCUGGAGGAAUACCGAUGGCGAAGGCAGCCAUCUGGCCUAAUACUGACGCUGAGGUACGAAAGCAUGGGGAGCAAACAGGAUUAGAUACCCCUGUAGUUCCUGUCUCUUAUAC
rnacentral:rRNA from 1 species